AUGAACGCUGGCGGCGUGCCUAAUACAUGCAAGUCGAGCGAACAGAUGAGGAGCUUGCUCCUCUGACGUUAGCGGCGGACGGGUGAGUAACACGUGGAUAACCUACCUAUAAGACUGGGAUAACUUCGGGAAACCGGAGCUAAUACCGGAUAAUAUAUUGAACCGCAUGGUUCAAUAGUGAAAGACGGUUUUGCUGUCACUUAUAGAUGGAUCCGCGCCGCAUUAGCUAGUUGGUAAGGUAACGGCUUACCAAGGCAACGAUGCGUAGCCGACCUGAGAGGGUGAUCGGCCACACUGGAACUGAGACACGGUCCAGACUCCUACGGGAGGCAGCAGUAGGGAAUCUUCCGCAAUGGGCGAAAGCCUGACGGAGCAACGCCGCGUGAGUGACGAAGGUCUUCGGAUCGUAAAACUCUGUUAUUAGGGAAGAACAAAUGUGUAAGUAACUAUGCACGUCUUGACGGUACCUAAUCAGAAAGCCACGGCUAACUACGUG
rnacentral:rRNA from 1 species